rnacentral:lncRNA from 1 species
GUGAAAGUGGAAUGCAAAAUUACAAACAGCUUACCACCAUCUUACAAGUAUUCUUACCAAAACCAAAUAGGAGCAAAACCAAAUUGACAAAACAAUAUCUUAUUGAGCAUGGAUAAAAGUUGCAAGAUGAACGUGUGCUGACAUGGAGCUUUAGAAAGGCACACUAUGAACAACAAGAAUUAGCAAUUAACGAGUGCAGAUUUAGCUAAGUUCAAUAAGUUUCCAAAAGAUAAAUCAUAAUUGCUGGCUAAGACGUGUCCACACGUAGCGCAACAAGGUGAAACAAAGGACGAUAGAAAGAACUCAUAGACAAGCAAAUAGCCCAAAUUUUUCCUUUUUCGUGAAUAUACCGUGGUUUUCUAAAAGGCACUAAUAGGAAUCAAUUUUUUUUAUUUUUUCACUAUUUUUUUAUAUUUUUCUUUGAACAAGGAUCACAAAAAAACAACCACAAAAAUUGGCACCUACAACUGAGGUGGGAUGUGGUCUACAAAAAUUCAGCACGUUCUCUGAAAAGCGUGCAAAAACUUUGACAAUUUUUUUUCUUUAUUUUCCCAAUUUUUUGGCAAUUUUAAUGAGAUCAAACAGGCCGAAGCCAAGUUUGGGUCGGCUCUAAAUGGUGUCAAGAAGGUUCCGUAAAAUUUCAGAUUUUUUUGAUAAACGAGCGAAAAAUUAUGCCUAUUUUACCGAAGGUAUCUCAAGUUAUGGUUUUCGGGGAAGGCACAACAUGGCGGCAGCAGUUAGUGCAAAACAUCAUUAAACUCCAACACUGAUCACAGAAUAAAUCGUCCCUGUGACUAACAACUGUAGGUAUUCAUCUAAUGAUGUAAGGAGGGCUGCAAUGCACGAGAAAUAACAACGGCCUAUCUAGGGUUAGCGUGGCGGCGAGAGAUCACACAAGGCGGCUAGCGGGGCCAAGUCGAGUAAUAUGGUGGCUUUGACUUGUUAUUUGGGAACAGGGAAUGGAAUAGUGGCGGAAACAAAGAACAGCAACGGUGCAGUUGAACUACGACGACGAACACAACCGAAACCAACAACUAGACUCAAACAAGACACAAACUCAACAAAGCAAAUCUGAAAACAAAAUUGCAAGGCAUAAUGGGUGAUAGGACUGUGGAAAUUGAAAUAUUUUUAGGCUUUUGUGGACUCUAGGUAAUGAACAAAUAUGAAUCUAGGGCAAAUAAGAUUAUAUCUCAUGGUAAACCUAAAAUAUCUCAUACCAAUUGGUGAGUACAGGCUUGAUCUUCUGAAAGGUAACUGGUAAGUUUGAUUUGUGGAGGUCUUGACGUUGGCCGAUUGUUGACAGUCGAUAACGUCAACUUUUAUUAGAACUUUAGACCCAAAUGAGAACAUAAAAACACACUAGUCUAGGGUUUAAACUGACAGUUUCCACGAGUUUUGCAUAUUCUGUGUUUUCCAUGGUUUAUUUUAGAGAGAGGUGAAGAGAGAGAUUUAAGUGCAAAAGAAACACUAAACUUAACCGCGACGCAACAACACCACCAACGGGGUCAGAAAGGUUCUACAAGACACCCGAAGGAACAAGACCCGCAGAGGAGGCAAGGUAGGGCCGGCCGGCCCCACCCUGGUG